CGCACAUUGCGCCCUUUGGCAUUCCGAGGGGCAUGCCUGUUCGAGCGUCAUUAAAGUCUAUCAAAUUCUUGUUUGGUUUUGGGACUUCUUGCAGCUACUUGCUGUAUGAUCUCCUUAAUUGCAGCUAGCUUCUAUCAAACGGCGGAUGUUGAGAAAUUUCAUCUUGCUGUCCUGUUAUGUUGCUACUACAUAUCUUUAUCUCAAUUGACCUCGGAUCAGGUAGGAAUACCCGCUGAACUUAA
rnacentral:misc_RNA from 1 species